rnacentral:tRNA from 1 species
AGCACGAUAGCUCAAGUGGUAGAGCAGCGGCGUCUCAAGCCGAAGAUCGUGGGUUCGAAUCCCGCUCGUGCCA